UCCUACGGGAGGCAGCAGUAGGGAAUCUUCCGCAAUGGACGAAAGUCUGACGGAGCAACGCCGCGUGAACGAAGAAGGCCUUCGGGUCGUAAAGUUCUGUUGUUAGGGAAGAACAAGUACCAGAGUAACUGCUGGUACCUUGACGGUACCUAACCAGAAAGCCACGGCUAACUACGUGCCAGCAGCCGCGGUAAUACGUAGGUGGCAAGCGUUGUCCGGAAUUAUUGGGCGUAAAGCGCGCGCAGGUGGUUCCUUAAGUCUGAUGUGAAAGCCCACGGCUCAACCGUGGAGGGUCAUUGGAAACUGGGGAACUUGAGUGCAGAAGAGGAAAGUGGAAUUCCAAGUGUAGCGGUGAAAUGCGUAGAGAUUUGGAGGAACACCAGUGGCGAAGGCGACUUUCUGGUCUGUAACUGACACUGAGGCGCGAAAGCGUGGGGAGCAAACAGGAUUAGAUACCCUGGUAGUCCACGCCGUAAACGAUGAGUGCUAAGUGUUAGAGGGUUUCCGCCCUUUAGUGCUGCAGCUAACGCAUUAAGC
rnacentral:rRNA from 1 species